GGCAAAGAUAAAAACACAGGUUCCGGUUGGUAGUCCGGCCGCGCUUUCCAAAAGCGCCAGUAACCCUCCCUCCUUGGGUCGUCCGUUCUUUGUCCAUUA
rnacentral:ncRNA from 1 species